GUGGAUAAAGAUGGGCACGCGCAGGAUUAGAUAGUUGGUAGGGUAACGGCCUACCAAGUCAACGAUCCUUAGGGGGCCUGAGAGGGUGAUCCCCCACACUGGUACUGAGACACGGACCAGACUCCUACGGGAGGCAGCAGUGAGGAAUAUUGGACAAUGGGUGAGAGCCUGAUCCAGCCAUCCCGCGUGAAGGACGACGGCCCUAUGGGUUGUAAACUUCUUUUGUACAGGGAUAAACCUUUCCACGUGUGGGAAGCUGAAGGUACUGUACGAAUAAGCACCGGCUAACUCCGUGCCAGCAGCCGCGGUAAUACGGAGGGUGCAAGCGUUAUCCGGAUUUAUUGGGUUUAAAGGGUCCGUAGGCGGACUCGUAAGUCAGUGGUGAAAUCUCACAGCUUAACUGUGAAACUGCCAUUGAUACUGCGGGUCUUGAGUGUUGUUGAAGUAGCUGGAAUAAGUAGUGUAGCGGUGAAAUGCAUAGAUAUUACUUAGAACACCAAUUGCGAAGGCAGGUUACUAAGCAACAACUGACGCUGAUGGACGAAAGCGUGGGGAGCGAACAGGAUUAGAUACCCUGGUAGUCCACGCCGUAAACGAUGCUAACUCGUUUUUGGGUCUUUAAGAUUCAGAGACUAAGCGAAAGUGAUAAGUUAGCCACCUGGGGAGUACGUUCGCAAGAAUGAAACUCAAAGGAAUUGACGGGGGCCCGCACAAGCGGUGGAUUAUGUGGUUUAAUUCGAUGAUACGCGAGGAACCUUACCAAGGCUUAAAUGGGAAUUGAUUGGUUUAGAAAUAGACCGUCCUUCGGGCAAUUUUCAAGGUGCUGCAUGGUUGUCGUCAGCUCGUGCCGUGAGGUGUUAGGUUAAGUCCUGCAACGAGCGCAACCCCUGUCACUAGUUGCCAUCAUUCAGUUGGGGACUCUAGUGAGACUGCCUACGCAAGUAGAGAGGAAGGUGGGGAUGACGUCAAAUCAUCACGGCCCUUACGCCUUGGGCCACACACGUAAUACAAUGGCCGGUACAGAGGGCAGCUACACAGCGAUGUGAUGCAAAUCUCGAAAGCCGGUCUCAGUUCGGAUUGGAGUCUGCAACUCGACUCUAUGAAGCUGGAAUCGCUAGUAAUCGCGCAUCAGCCAUGGCGCGGUGAAUACGUUCCCGGGCCUUGUACACACCGCCCGUCAAGCCAUGGAAGUCUGGGGUACCUGAAGUCGGUGACCGUAACAGGAGCUGCCUAGG
rnacentral:rRNA from 1 species